UCCUCAUCCCCUCCUCCCGCAGCCGCCCCAAUCCGGCGACGGCUACGACGGUGGCUGCGGCGGCUCCCGCGCUGCGUUCUUCCUCCCCCAACACGUCUCCUCUCCUCCCACGCCGGAUCUGGACGAGCAACCGUGGUCAGGCAGCAGAGCCCCUUUCUUCGCGCUCUUUUCCCUCGAUCUGCCGUGACCACCCUCCUCCUCCCCAUCCUCUACCAUGGCCACCCUCCUCCUCCGCGUCCUCUCGUUCUCCUCUCCGACAUUCGUUGACGAGGCGUCAGAACUGACGGAGCAGCGGCGCCAUCGAGCGGGGGUACGGGCACGAUGCAGACCCUAGCCGUGUGUCCGUAGGGUUCAUCAUCGUGCGGCCGUCGUCCUCAUGUUUGUGUGCAUGCAGGAAACCAACAGUCUUCGAUGUAGUGAGAGCUGGCUGUCUUGUCUGCUGGAUGAGGAGCAAGCCGUAGCUGCAAGUCGUUGAGCAUGGUGGUGCUAUUGUGAGGAUCUAUGUCUCUCUCCCUCUAUAAAAUGUCCGUGGAUGCAUUGUUAGGUGACAAGUUGCUGUGGGUUGUACGAUUUCCAUCUCUCAUCAGUUGAAAUUUUCACCUGGAAUACCGGUGGCAUACGUGUUGUUAAAUUUGGUCAGGCAGCUUGGAAGCAGAUACAAAUAAGGACAAAGAUUUCCUCGGUAUGAAAACAAAUGGGUGAGACCAGCGCCAUCCUCUCUGCCCGACUUGCUGCCAUUCGUUGGAUGAUUUUGGCAACAUGUUCAGGGUUAAUCGAUUGAAUCAGUAGGAAAUGUUCCCUUGCUUUGGUUGGAUGGGUGUAGGAGCAGCAAGCAUCGCCGCCACACGGAAAACUCCAGUAACUUCUUGCCCCUUCCAGCCUCGGAUCACGAACGACUUCAAGCUGAAGAUGUUGAACCAUGCGAUGCAAGAAUUAUUAUUUUGGGCUCCUAUGGAAGACUCAUGUAAUUGCUGUCAAGAACACUGUCAGUUCAGCGGUUGUCAUCAUGCAAGCAAUUGGCCGCUGAUCUGCUUGCUCUUUGUACUACUAAAGGGCAGUGUUUUUUCCCUCCCAGUAAAUUACACUAUUUUCAGGUGGCAUCAUACGCGAAGCAGGGGAUAUGGAUCAGAAGCCGCAAUGGUGCGCGUGAAGACAUGUCUAACACUUGCCUGACCCUGGACUCUGGCUUCUUCUUGCAAGUUGACCAUACUAUUGUGAGAAUCUCGGCCAGGAUCAUUCUUUAUAUCAUGUUGGAUCAUCUUGGAAUUUGUAGAGUAAUUUAUCGUCUAAGGAUGUACUCACAGAACACAAUCAGUGUGGUUGUGCUUUUCUACACUUCUGUCCAGAGCAAUGGGAUAUGUAUUUUGUACUGUACGGCUACCCUCUAAUGCAUUUCUCAGACUUCAGUCUGUCUCUUUCUGCACAAAUGACUUGGUCUAAUUAUUAUGAAAUACC